AUUCCUCCCCUUCCCUGGGGCGCAGGGUUCCUUCUGCGGGAGGUUUUAUUUACGCAGCCAAACAAAGUUCGCCGCCGCCUUCCCGCGCGCAGCGCCUCCAAGGGUUAAGCGCUCGGACUGGCGGCCGGCAGGAGCCCAGCCUGUUGGCCAAGAGCCGAGGGGCGAGCGCCAGUCACGUGACCCGGGGCGGGGAGGGGGGGCGCCAAAUCCCACCCUCUUGGGGCACCUCUCCAGCUGCUCCCUACCCCCAGCCCACCGCCCCCGAGGUCGCUGCUGCACCCUCGGGGGCGGUGUCAGAAAAGGCGCUGGCCCACCGGGGACGCGGGGCAGGGACGGAACACCCUUGUCAGAACCGCCAGGGACACGUGCCACUCCAACGCUGCACAACAAGGGGCUUCCUGAAGGCAGAGCGUAGACCCCGUGUUCUCCCUGGUAAGGCGCAGAUAUUUCAAAGUAUCUGAAGGGAGGCGUUGGGGGAGGGGACGGGGAGCAAGGGGCCUGCCGGUGAGGCUCGGCCCCAUCUGGCCCACACCUCAGGCCUGGCCUUGCCCUCCCGGCCAGUUAAUUUCUACCCUUCUCCGUACAUUCGACAAACAUUGAUUAAGCCCUAUUACCUACAAGGCAGUCAGGUCCCAAGGGCUGGGGACAAAAGGAUGGGCUGGAACUUGAAGAGCAGCCAGGAAGGGCCCUCCAGGUCUGGCACCAACAAUGGGGGGAGGGGGUCUCUUCCAAUCCCCCCAGCCAGUUAGGCACUCCUGCCUAUCCUCCCAUUUUCUUAGACCCAGGGCCUCUGCCCCAAGUCGGGGGCCUGUGUGAGAACAGCAGGGAAAGACGCUCUCUGAGCUGGUGGGCAAUUCGGCAAUACGGUGCCCUCCGGGUGGCAUGCGAGUGCCCGAGAGCUUGUCCUGGGUCUCAGACUGGUCACUGCCACUCCCCUCCCAGCCCCCACGCCCCCAGUUCUGAAAGAUCCCAAAUGCGCAGGGGAUGCUGAGGCCUGACCGCCAUCCCGGUUAAUCAGGGCCUCUUGCGGAGAGUGCAAUGCGCUGGGCAUGAGGAGAUUUCUUAAGUUGAUGAAAUCGAGUCCUUCCUUUUUAAGAAAAGCAGUCUCUCCCUCCCCCAUGCUUUGGAUAUUUUGAACUAUUUUCAACCAAGUGAGUUUGUGGACAAGGAACUGCAAAACCACAGACAUUUCAGAUGUGCACACACCCUCUGCCUGGGAGCUGGGGUUUCAGAAAUGGAGUCGCCACUGUCAUUAAUAGCACCGCGGGUGGCUUCCACACCAGCCCGGGGCAUUUCUUGUCUGAAAACCAGCACCUGGGCCCACCCGACAGUCCAAUCUUCUGGCCACCUGCCCACCCAGUAUUUGGGGGUUUGGUGGUCCACUGCCUCUAAGAAACAGCCUAAUGCCAUAACCCCCUGGGAAGAUGCUGGGUCUCAGAGACAGGACAGCAUCCAGCCUGGGCCACAGCGUUACUCUCCAGUGUUUUUAUAAAAAGCACCUGGCGCGCGUAGACACACCCAUGCGAUUGUUCUUCCAGGGCGCUGGCCUGGAGUUCUACCAGAUUCGAAUAGGUUGGCUUAUUGUGCAUUAUUCACUUCCAUUCACAGUGGAGCUAAACAUACUUAAGCUUAUCUCCUCAGGGAGCCCAGCCAGGGUGCAUGCCUCACCAAAAUGCUCCCCUGUGGGAACCCAAAGGACAAUGGCAGGAGGGAGCGGACCUCCGAGGCCAGAACGUUGGCAGGACUGUGCUCCAGACCCCGUCCAGUCCAUCCCCCUGCCUGCCUCUGGCCCCCCUUCACUUAACCACUGAGGCUGCCGUUGCCAGGCCUAGACACCUCCAGAGGAGAUGGGAAACAGCUGGGCACCACCCUUCGAGUAAUAAUUACCUCCUCCAAACUCGAAGACAAUCCAGUUGCUCCUUGGCCUUCUCUUCCUCAGCUUAAAUCAUCUGUCCCCGGCCCUUUAAUCAUCCCCCAUCCUUUGAUCACUCUGAUGACUGUGUCCAAAGUGGGGCUCCAGGACUUUAAUAAGGCCUGAUCCCUGUAGGAUGGGGAGAGUGCCCUGACCCCCUGUCCCAGGGCAUGAGCAGUCAGGGCCGGGGUCUGGACAGACAAUCCGGGUAGGGGCGCUGGGCAGAUAAGAUCAGCAGCAGCAGAAAAGGGAAGAAAAUGAGCUUAAAUUUGGCGAGAGCAAAAGAACUGCAAUGCGUCCAAAUUCUGUGAUGGUGCGCUCUCCCAAGGCCAUGGGGGAAGGCAAGACCGUUUGUAGGCCUGGCCCAAGGGGAAGGUGUGAUCAGGGGAACAUCAGAGGGGCCACCUACCUCACAGGUCCACCAUAAGACAUGUAGUGGGGUGCAUGGUGGGCCCCCCAAAAGCUAUGUCCAUUCCGAACCUCAGAAUGAGACCUGACUUGGUGUAAGGAUCUUUGCAGACGAAUGAAGCUAAGGGUCUUGAGACAAGAUCACCCUGGAUUAGAGUGAGCCCUGAAUCCAAUGACCAGUGUCCUUAUAGAGACCAAAAAGGAGAAGACACAGAGGCGCAGAGAAAAGGGCCUCGUGAAAUCAGAGGCAGGGAUGGGAGUGACGCAGCCACAAAUCAAGUAACACUUGGGACCCCAGAAGCUGGAAGCAACAGGACGCUUCCCCAGAGCCUUCGGAGACAGCUUGCCCUGCUGACACCUUGAGUUCAGGCUCCUGGCCUCCAACUGAGGGAGAAUAAUUUUUUGUCCUGUUAAGCCCCUCCCAGUUUGUGGUUCUUUGUUACAGCAGCCCCAGGACACUCCUACAGACCUUAAACUCCCAUCUGAAUCAUCCCUUUAGGCCAAAGCUGCCUCUCGCAAAGAUGUCUCAAAGCCCCAAAUCCUGCAGUCGGCAGUGAACGCUGGCCAGCAGGUGGCAGUCCCGAGGGGGCUCGGGGGCACUCAGACAGCAAGUUUUCAUCAGAAAAGCUGGAGGCCAGGGCUGGGUGAGAAAGGUAUAAAUAUGAAGCCUUUCUGGAGAUGGAAGGAGCAGGCCUGAAGGGAAACCCCACAGGUCCAGCCCAGGUGGAGUGACCCUUGCAAAGCAUGGGGAGAACGGGAGGAGGAAGUAGAUGGGCGGAAACAGCCAUUUGGCUCACCCAUCAGUACCCCUGACCCCACACUCCAGGGGGGUGGCAUGGGGAGCAGAGGGAGGAUGGUGGCUCUUUGCCCAGCGAAACCAGGCCUUUGGACCGGACAGCCCAUGCAGUGGACCAUCUGGCUCCUCUGGGGCAGGGGCCAUAUGGUCUCAGCUCUACGUGCACCUAGCGCCCCGCAGGGCCUCCCUGAGCCCCAGAGCCUCGGGUCCAUCAGCUGCUGAGCCUUCCACAGCCCCCAAGCCCCUUCAGCCCACCAUCUCGGUAAACGGCACCAGCAUCUACCCAGCCGCUCAAGCCAAAUAUCAAGGCGUCACCCUCGAGUUCUCCCUUUCCCUCCCCGCCACAUCCAAGCCAUCAGGAAGGGUCUGCCUCAAAUAUCCGUGCAUCAGUCUACGUCCCUCCUCAAGUUCCCCCUCUCCAGCCCACCCCCUCUGCCAGAGGUAUGCUGCCUAAGGUUUAACAACCGGCAAAACAACUCUACCUGAUGUGUGGCAUUGGCCUAUUUCUGUGGUGUAAGUAUUCCCAUCUUGGCCAGUUUGGGGCUACCAAUGAGACACCGUUGAAACUGGGGCUGGAUAUCGUUUAUAUGUGGAAUCUAAAAAAUGGUACAAAUGAACUUAUUUACAAAACAGAAAUAGAAUUACAGAUGUAGAAAACAAACUUAUGGUUACUGGGGGGAAGGGUGGGGAGGGAUAAAUUGGGAGAUUGGGAUUGACAUAUACAUACUACUAUAUAUAAAAUAGAUAACUAUUAAGGACUCACUGUAGAGCACAGGGAACUCUACUCAAUACUCUGUAAUGACCUGUACGGGAAAAGAAUCUAAAAAAGAGUGGAUAUGUGUAUAUGUAUAACCAAACCACUUUGCUGUACACCUGAGAUGAACACAAUGUAAAUCAACUAUACUCCAAUAAAAAUUAAUUAAAAAAGCAAAAAAGAAACUGGGGCUGGGAAGAGAUUGCAGUAGCUGCCGUUAUAUAGUGUUUCUACCAUAGAGAUACAGCAGAGGUGAAGAACUCGAGAACAAAGAUGACCCGUUCAUCUAUCGUUGGACAUUUAGGUUGUUUCCCUGUCCUGGCUAUUGUAAAUAGUGCUGCAGUGAACACUGGGGUACAUGUGUCCUUUUGAAUUAUGGUUUUCUCAGGGUAUAUGCCCAGUGGUGGGAUUGCUGGGUCAUAUGGUAGUUCUAUUUCUAGUUUUUUAAGGAACCUCCAUACUGUUCUCCAUGGUGGCUGUAUCAGCAUUCCCACCGAUGGUGCAAAAGGGUUCCCUUGUCUUCACACCCUCUCCAGCAUUUAUUGUUUGUAGAUUUUUUGAUGAUGGCCAUUCUGACCAGUGUGAGGCGAUACCUCAUUGUAGUUUUGAUUUGCAUUUCUCUAAUAGUAAUGUUGAACAUCUUUUCAAGUGCCUCUUGGCCCUCUGUAUGUCUUCUUUGGUGAAAUGUCUAUUUAGGUCUUCUGCCCGUUUUUUAAUUGGGUUGUUUGUUUUUUUGAUAUUGAGCUCCAUGAGCUGUUUGUGUUUUGGAAAUUAAUCCUUUGUCCGUUGCUUCAUUUGCAAAUAUUUUCUCCUAUUAUGAGGGUUGUCUUUUCCUCUUGUUUAUGGUUUCCUUUGCUGUGCAAAAGCUUUUAAGUUUAAUUAGGUCCCAUUUGUUUAUUUUUGUUUUUAUUUUCAUUACUCUAGGAGGUGGGUGAAAAAAGAUCUUGCUGUGGUUUAUGACAAAGAGUGUUUUUCCUAUGUUUUCCUGUAAGGGUUUUAUAGUGUCCGGUCUUAAAUUUAGGUCUUUAAUCCAUCUGGAGUUAAGAUGUGAUACGUAUAUACAAUGGAAUAUUACUCAGCCAUAAAAAGGAACAAAAUUGGGCCAUUUGUAGAGAUGUGGAUGGACCUAGAGUCUGUCAUACAGAGUGAAGUAAGCCAGCAAAAGAAAAAUAAAUAUCAUAUAUUAACGCAUAUAUGUGGAAUCUAGAAAAAUGGUACAGAUGAACCUCUUUGUAGGGCAGAAAUAGAGACACAGAUGUAGAGAACAGACAUGUGGACACAGAGAGGGAAGGGGAGGGUGGGACGAAUUGGGAGAUUAGGUUUGACAUAAAUACACUACCAUGUAUAAAACAGAUAGCUAGUGGGAACCUGCUAUACAGCACUGGGAGCUCAGCUCGGUGCUCUGUGACGACCUAGAUGGGUGGGAUGUGUGUGGGGGGGGAAGGAGGUCCAAGAGGGAGGGGAUAUAGGUAUACAUAUAGCUGAUUCACUUCGUUGUACGGCAGAACCUAACAGAACAUUGUAAAGCAAUUUUACCCCAAUAAAUAAAUAAAUAA